UGCCAGCAGCCCGCGGUAAUACGGAGGAUGCAAGCGUUAUCCGGAAUCAUUGGGUUUAAAGGGUCCGUAGGCGGCCAAAUAAGUCAGUGGUGAAAGCCCAUCGCUCAACGAUGGAACGGCCAUUGAUACUGUUUGGCUUGAAUUAUUAGGAAGUAACUAGAAUAUGUAGUGUAGCGGUGAAAUGCUUAGAGAUUACAUGGAAUACCAAUUGCGAAGGCAGGUUACUACUAAUAUAUUGACGCUGAUGGACGAAAGCGUGGGGAGCGAACAGGAUUAGAUACCCUGGUAGUCC
rnacentral:rRNA from 1 species